AUUGAACGCUGGCGGCAGGCCUAACACAUGCACGUCGAGCGGAGCGGCGGACGGGUGAGUAAUGCCUAGGACUCUGCCUGGUAGUGGGGGAUAACGUCCGGAAACGGGAGCUUUUGCCACAUACUAUACGAUGCGCCUAGGUCGGCUUAGCUAGAUGGGGGGGUAAAGGCCUACCAAGGCGACGAGCCGUAACUGGUCUGAGAGGGUGAUCAGUCACACUGGAACUUAGACACGGUCCAGACUCCUACGGGAGGCAGCAGUGGGGAAUAUUGGACAAUGGGCGAAAGCCUGAUCCAGCCAUGCCGCGUGUGUGAAGAAGGUCUUCGGAUUGUAAAGCACUUUAAGUUGGGAGGCGUUACCAACAGAAUAAGCACCGGCUAACUGCGUGCCAGCAGCCGCGGUAAUUC
rnacentral:rRNA from 1 species